rnacentral:rRNA from 1 species
CCUACGGGAGGCAGCAGUGACGAAUAUUGGUCAAUGGGCUUACGCCUGAACCAGCCAAGUCGCGUGAGGGAAGACUGCCCUAUGGGUUGUAAACCUCUUUUGUCAGGGAGCAACGCCGGCUACGUGUAGCCGGACUGAGAGUACCUGAAGAAAAAGCAUCGGCUAACUCCGUGCCAGCAGCCGCGGUAAUACGGAGGAUGCGAGCGUUAUCCGGAUUUUUUGGGUUUAAAGGGUGCGUAGGCGGAAUGCCAAGUCAGCGGUAAAAUCGCGGGGCUCAACCUCGCUCCGCCGUUGAAACUGGCGUUCUUGAGUGGGCGAGAAGUAUGCGGAAUGCGUGGUGUAGCGGUGAAAUGCAUAGAUAUCACGCAGAACUCCGAUUGCGAAGGCAGCAUACCGGCGCCCAACUGACGCUGAAGCACGAAAGCGUGGGUAUCGAACAGGAUUAGAUACCCUAGUAGUC